UACGUAGGCAGCAAGCGUUGUUCGGAGUUACUGGGCGUAAAGGGUGUGUAGGCGGUUCCUUAAGUUUGGUGUGAAAUCUCCCGGCUUAACCGGGAGGGUGCGGUGAAUACUGAGGGACUAGAGUACGGGAGAGGAAAGUGGAAUUCCUGGUGUAGCGGUGAAAUGCGCAGAUAUCAGGAGGAACACCAAUGGCGAAGGCAGCUCGCUGGGACGGUACUGAUGCUGAGGCGCGAAAGCGUGGGGAGCAAACAGG
rnacentral:rRNA from 1 species